rnacentral:rRNA from 4 species
UGUUUGCCUCAGCGUCG